GGAACAUUAGCUCAGCUGGCAGAGCAACUGACUCUUAAUCAGUGGGUCCGGGGUUCGAUCCCCCGAUGUUCCACCA
rnacentral:tRNA from 1 species